rnacentral:rRNA from 1 species
ACACAACAUCGGCCGCCACGGCAGCGUGAAGCUCUUUCCACGACUUGAUUUUUUUGUAUACGCAUGUCAAUAUGACCCAUACAUUUUCUUAAAAGUUAAAUUCUCCCCAGAGACCGAUAGCGCACAAGUAGAGUGAUCAAAAGACGAAAAUCCUUUGUGGAAAGAGAGUCAUCCAGUACGAGAAAUUGCAAAGCGCAUCGGGCGAUAUCACUCUCGGCGGGGCGGGUUUCAGCCGGUAUUUUAUCCAGCGCACCGAACCGAUUCAGCCAGCAUCGGGGGGGGCCGCUGGAUAAAGUCCCGGGGAAUGUCCCCCCCCUCGGGGAGUGUUAUAGCCAGAGGUGCAAUGCAGCCCGCCGGGACCGAGGACCGCGCUUCGGCUAGGAUGCUGGCGUAAUGGUUGCAAGCGACCCGUCUUGAAACACGGACCAAGGAGUCUAACAUCUAUGCGAGUGUUUGGGCGUCCAACCCAUGCGCGUAAUGAAAGUGAACGGAGGUGGGAACCCUCAAGGGUGCACCAUCGCCCGAUCCUGAUGUCUUCGGAUGGAUUUGAGUAAGAGCAUAGCUGUUGGGACCCGAAAUAAUAGUGAACUAUGCCUGAAUAGGGUGAAGCCAGAGGAAAUCGCAGCGGUUCUGACGUGCAAAUCGAUCGUCAAAUUGGGUAU